GAUGAACGCUGGCGGCGUGCCUAAUACAUGCAAGUCGAGCGAACGGACGAGAAGCUUGCUUCUCUGAUGUUAGCGGCGGACGGGUGAGUAACACGUGGAUAACCUACCUAUAAGACUGGGAUAACUUCGGGAAACCGGAGCUAAUACCGGAUAAUAUUUUGAACCGCAUGGUUCAAAAGUGAAAGACGGUCUUGCUGUCACUUAUAGAUGGAUCCGCGCUGCAUUAGCUAGUUGGUAAGGUAACGGCUUACCAAGGCAACGAUGCAUAGCCGACCUGAGAGGGUGAUCGGCCACACUGGAACUGAGACACGGUCCAGACUCCUACGGGAGGCAGCAGUAGGGAAUCUUCCGCAAUGGGCGAAAGCCUGACGGAGCAACGCCGCGUGAGUGAGGAAGGUCUUCGGAUCGUAAAACUCUGUUAUUAGGGAAGAACAUAUGUGUAAGUAAAUGUGCACAUCUUGACGGUACCUAAUCAGAAAGCCACGGCUAACUACGUG
rnacentral:rRNA from 1 species